UGCAAGUCGAGCGGUAGCACAGAGAGCUUGCUCUCGGGUGACGAGCGGCGGACGGGUGAGUAAUGUCUGGGAAACUGCCUGAUGGAGGGGGAUAACUACUGGAAACGGUAGCUAAUACCGCAUAACGUCGCAAGACCAAAGUGGGGGACCUUCGGGCCUCAUGCCAUCAGAUGUGCCCAGAUGGGAUUAGCUAGUAGGUGGGGUAACGGCUCACCUAGGCGACGAUCCCUAGCUGGUCUGAGAGGAUGACCAGCCACACUGGAACUGAGACACGGUCCAGACUCCUACGGGAGGCAGCAGUGGGGAAUAUUGCACAAUGGGCGCAAGCCUGAUGCAGCCAUGCCGCGUGUGUGAAGAAGGCCUUCGGGUUGUAAAGCACUUUCAGCGGGGAGGAAGGCGUUAAGGUUAAUAACCUUGGCGAUUGACGUUACCCGCAGAAGAAGCACCGGCUAACUCCGUGCCAGCAGCCGCGGUAAUACGGAGGGUGCAAGCGUUAAUCGGAAUUACUGGGCGUAAAGCGCACGCAGGCGGUCUGUCAAGUCGGAUGUGAAAUCCCCGGGCUCAACCUGGGAACUGCAUUCGAAACUGGCAGGCUAGAGUCUUGUAGAGGGGGGUAGAAUUCCAGGUGUAGCGGUGAAAUGCGUAGAGAUCUGGAGGAAUACCGGUGGCGAAGG
rnacentral:rRNA from 1 species